rnacentral:rRNA from 1 species
GAUGAACGCUAGCGGCAGGCCUAACACAUGCAAGUCGAGGGGCAGCACAGAAACAGCAAUGUUUUGGUGGCGACCGGCGGACGGGUGCGUAACGCGUAUGCAACCUACCUUUAACAGGGGGAUAACGGAGAGAAAUUUCCACUAAUACCCCAUAACAUCGAUCAAGGCAUCUUGAUUGGUUGAAAACUCCGGUGGGUAAAGAUGGGCGUGCGUUGUAUUAGUUAGUUGGUGAGGUAAUGGCUCACCAAGCCUACGAUACAUAGGGGGACUGAGAGGUUAGCCCCCCACACUGGUACUGAGACACGGACCAGACUCCUACGGGAGGCAGCAGUGAGGAAUAUUGGUCAAUGGGGGCAACCCUGAACCAGCCAUGCCGCGUGCAGGAAGACGGCUCUAUGAGUUGUAAACUGCUUUUAAACAGGGAUAAAGCACAGUAUGUAUACUGUGUUGAAGGUACUGUAAGAAUAAGGAUCGGCUAACUCCGUGCCAGCCGCCGCGGUAA